rnacentral:misc_RNA from 1 species
UUUUUAAUUAACUCGGUAGUCGUCAUGAUAACCUGAGAUAAUGUAAUUAAACGGCGCCUCUUGCGCCGUUUAUAUUUUCCUUUAUGUAGCGAUUCGCAACGAUUAAGCACAAUGUACACACCCACACAAACUAAUAACCUAAACGCUGGUUAAAAGAAAACCACUUUAACUUUAUUUCCUUAAUAGUCUGUAUUCCUGUACAAUUCGCACCUUAAAUUUUCCGUGUUAAUUUAUAUCCAAGGCUUAU